rnacentral:rRNA from 1 species
AGAGUUUGAUCCUGGCUCAGAUCGAACGCUGGCGGCAUGCCUUACACAUGCAAGUCGAACGGUAACAGGUCUUUCGGGAUGCUGACGAGUGGCGAACGGGUGAGUAAUACAUCGGAACGUGCCCAGUAAUGGGGGAUAGCUCGGCGAAAGCCGGAUUAAUACCGCAUACGCCCUGAGGGGGAAAGUGGGGGACCGCAAGGCCUCACGUUAUUGGAGCGGCCGAUGGCUGAUUAGCUAGUUGGUAGGGUGAAGGCCUACCAAGGCGACGAUCAGUAGCUGGUCUGAGAGGACGAUCAGCCACACUGGGACUGAGACACGGCCCAGACUCCUACGGGAGGCAGCAGUGGGGAAUUUUGGACAAUGGGGGAAACCCUGAUCCAGCAAUGCCGCGUGUGCGAAGAAGGCCUUCGGGUUGUAAAGCACUUUUGUCAGGGAAGAAAUCCUUUGGGCUAAUACCCUAGGGGGAUGACGGUACCUGAAGAAUAAGCACCGGCUAACUACGUGCCAGCAGUCGCGGUAAUACGUAGGGUGCAAGCGUUAAUCGGAAUUACUGGGCGUAAAGCGUGCGCAGGCGGUUGUGUAAGACAGGUGUGAAAUCCCCGGGCUUAACCUGGGAAUUGCAUUUGUGACUGCACGACUAGAGUGUGUCAGAGGGGGGUGGAAUUCCACGUGUAGUUGGGGAUUUACUUCCUUGGUAACGUAGCUAACGGUGAAAUGCGUAGAGAUGUGGAGGAACACCAGUGGCGAAGGCGGCUUUCUGGUCUGUAACUGACGCUGAGGCGCGAAAGCGUGGGGAGCAAACAGGAUUAGAUACCCUGGUAGUCCACGCCGUAAACGAUGAGUGCUAAGUGUUAGAGGGUUUCCGCCCUUUAGUGCUGCAGCUAACGCAUUAAGCACUCCGCCUGGGGAGUACGGCCGCAAGGCUGAAACUCAAAGGAAUUGACGGGGGCCCGCACAAGCGGCGGAGCAUGUUGCUUAAUUCGACGCGACGCGAAGAACCUUACCAGGGCUUGACAUGUAGGGAAAAGCCGCAGAGAUGUGGUGUCCGCAAGGGCCCUACACAGGUGUUGCAUGGCUGUCGUCAGCUCGUGUCGUGAGAUGUUGGGUUAAGUCCCGCAACGAGCGCAACCCUUGUCCUAUGUUGCCAGCGGAUAACGCCGGGGACUCAUAGGAGACUGCCGGGGUCAACUCGGAGGAAGGUGGGGACGACGUCAAGUCAUCAUGGCCCUUAUGUCCUGGGCUGCAAACAUGCUACAAUGGCCGGUACAGAGGGCUGCAAACCCGCGAGGGGGAGCCAAUCCCAAAAAGCCGGUCUCAGUUCGGAUCGGGGUCUGCAACUCGACCCCGUGAAGUCGGAGUCGCUAGUAAUCGCGGAUCAGCAAUGCCGCGGUGAAUACGUUCCCGGGCCUUGUACACACCGCCCGUCACGUCACGAAAGUCGGUAACACCCGAAGCCAGUGGCCCAACCCUCGGGAGGGAGCUGUCGAAGGUGGGAUCGGCGAUUGGGACGAAGUCGUAACAAGGUAGCCG